rnacentral:rRNA from 1 species
UACGAAGGGGGCUAGCGUUGCUCGGAAUUACUGGGCGUAAAGGGAGCGUAGGCGGAUAGUUUAGUCAGAGGUGAAAGCCCAGGGCUCAACCUUGGAAUUGCCUUUGAUACUGGCUAUCUUGAGUACGGAAGAGGUAUGUGGAACUCCGAGUGUAGAGGUGAAAUUCGUAGAUAUUCGGAGGAACACCAGUGGCGAAAGCGACUUUCUGGGACAUUUCUGACGCUGAGGAACGAAAGCUCGGGGAGCAAACAGG